rnacentral:rRNA from 1 species
GGUGACAGUGGGAUGCGAAGUCGCAAGAUGGAGCCAAUCCCCAAAAGCCGUCUCAGUUCGGAUUGCACUCUGCAACUCGGGGGCAUGAAGUUGGAAUCGCUAGUAAUCGCGGAUCAGCACGCCGCGGUGAAUACGUUCCCGGGCCUUGUACACACCGCCCGUCACACCAUGGGAGUUGGCUUUACCCGAAGGUGGUGCGCUAACCGGCA